AUUGAAAGCUGGCGGCAGGCUUAACACAUGCAAGUCGAGCGGGGUGAUGGUGCUUGCACUAUCACUUAGCGGCGGACGGGUGAGUAAUGCUUAGGAAUCUGCCUAUUAGUGGGGGACAACAUCUCGAAAGGGAUGCUAAUACCGCAUACGUCCUACGGGGGAAAGCAGGGGAUCACUUGUGACCUUGCGCUAAUAGAUGAGCCUAAGUGGGAUUAGCUAGUUGGUGGGGUAAAGGCAUACCAAGGCGACGAUCUGUAGCGGGUCUGAGAGGAUGAUCCGGCACACUGGGACAGAGACACGGCCCAGACUCCUACGGGAGGCAGCAGUGGGGAAUAUUGGACAAUGGGGGGAACCCUGAUCCAGCCAUGCCGCGUGUGUGAAGAAGGCCUUAUGGUUGUAAAGCACUUUAAGCGAGGAGGAGGCUCUUUUGGUUAAUACCCAGAAUGAGUGGACGUUACUCGCAGAAUAAGCACCGGCUAACUCUGUGCCAGCCGCCGCCGUAA
rnacentral:rRNA from 1 species